rnacentral:sRNA from 1 species
UAUUCUGCCCAAGCGGGAAGGAUGAGAAGCUUCGACUAAGGUUCGAUUCGAGCGUUAGCGAGAAAGCGUUGCCGCAGGUAACGACCCGAAGGGCGAAGCGCACCGCGCGGAGUAAUCCUUCCCCCACCACCA